GACGAACGCUGGCGGCGUGCUUAACACAUGCAAGUCGAACGGAAAGGCCCUGCUUUUGUGGGGUGCUCGAGUGGCGAACGGGUGAGUAACACGUGAGUAACCUGCCCUUGACUUUGGGAUAACUUCAGGAAACUGGGGCUAAUACCGGAUAGGAGCUCCUGCUGCAUGGUGGGGGUUGGAAAGUUUCGGCGGUUGGGGAUGGACUCGCGGCUUAUCAGCUUGUUGGUGGGGUAGUGGCUUACCAAGGCUUUGACGGGUAGCCGGCAUGAGAGGGUGACCGGCCACAUGGGGACUGAGAUACGGCCCAGAAGCCAACGGGAGGCAGCAGUGGGGAAUAUUGCACAAUGGGCGGAAGCCUGAUGCAGCAACGCCGCGUGCGGGAUGACGGCCUUCGGGGUGUAAACCGCUUUCGCCUGUGACGAAGCGUGAGUGACGGUAAUGGGUAAAGAAGCACCGGCUAACUACGUG
rnacentral:rRNA from 1 species